rnacentral:tRNA from 1 species
GCGUUCGUGGUGCAGUGGUCAGCACGAUCGGCGCGUAUUCGAGAGGUCCGGGGUUCGAAUCCCGGCAGGAGUA